rnacentral:rRNA from 1 species
GACCAAGAAGUCUAACAUGUGUGCGAGUCAUUGGGUAUAUUGUUGAAACCUAAGGGCGUAAUUAAAAUAACUAUUUUAUGGGAUUACAAGUGAAUUUAAUUUCAUUUCUUCAUCCCGGGGCGUUCUAUACGAACAUGGUGCAAGCAAUUGAACCCUCUGUUCAAGAGCGUACCUUGAGCAUACAUGCUGUGACCCGAAAGAUGGUGAACUAUACCUGAUCAGAUCGAAGCCAGGAGAAAUUCUGGUGGAGGAUCGAAACAGUUCUGACGUGCAAAUCGAUUGUCAGAAUUGGGUAUAGGGGCGAAAGACCAAUCGAACCAUCUAGUAGCUGGUUCCCUCCGAAGUUUCCCUCAGGAUAGCUGGCGCAACGAAUUAUAUUAUAUAUAAUCUUAUCUGGUAAAGCGAAUGAUUAGAGGCCUUGGGGCCGAAACGACCUCAACCUAUUCUCAAACUUUAAAUGGGUAAGAACCUCAUCUUUCUUGAUCUGAAGAUAUUGGGGUUUAGAUAUAUUGUGCCCAGUGGGCCACUUUUGGUAAGCAGAACUGGCGCUGUGGGAUGAACCAAACAUGAUGUUACGGCGCCUAAAUUAAUGACUCAUAUUGAUACCAUGAAAGGCGUUGGUUGCUUAAAACAGCAGGACGGUGGACAUGGAAGUCGUAAUCCGCUAAGGAGUGUGUAACAACUCACCUGCCGAAGCAACUAGCCCUUAAAAUGGAUGGCGCUCAAGUCAUAUGCCUAUACAUCAUCGCUAGAAUAAAAAUUGUUGGCCAUUCGGCCAUCAAUGUGAAAUUCUAGUGAGUAGGAGGGUACAAUGGUGUGCGCAGAAGUGUUUGGCGUGAGCCUGCAUGAAGCCGCCAUUGGCACAGAUCUUGGUGGUAGUAGCAAAUAAUCGAAUGAGAUCUUGGAGGACUGAAGUGGAGAAGGGUUUCGUGUGAACAGUGGUUGAUCACGAGUUAGUCGGUCCUAAGCUUUAUGCGAAAGCUGUUUAAUUUAUGUUACACACAAAAUUUUUGUUGUACAUAAUUCAAUAAAAGCGAAAGGGAAUACGGUUCCAAUUCCGUAACCUGUUGAGUAUACGUUUGUUUAUUAAAAAUGGGUCUUAUUACACUCAUCCUGGCAACAGGAACGACCAUAGAGAAGCCUUCGAGAGAUACUGGAAGAGUUUUCUUUUCUGCUAAACAAACGUAUCACCAUGGAAGUCUUUUAUAGAGAGAUAUGGUGGAUGGCUUGGAAGAGCAUGACAUUUACUGUUGUGUCAGUAUUUUCUCCUUGGACCUUGAAAAUCUAUGGUGGGGCCACGCAAACUUCUCAACAGACCGUACCGAUAUCCGCAG